AACGAACGCUGGCGGCAUGCCUAACACAUGCAAGUCGAACGAGACCUUCGGGUCUAGUGGCGCACGGGUGCGUACCGCGUGGGAACCUGCCCUUAGGUUCGGAAUACCUCCCCGAAAGGGGUGCUAAUACCGGAUAAUGUCUUCGGACCAAAGAUGUAUCGCCUUUGGAUGGGCCCGGGUUGGAUUAGCUAGUUGGUAGGGUAAAAGCCUACCAAGGCGACGAUGCAUAGCUGGUCGGAGAGGAUGAUCAGCCACACUGGGACUGAGACACGGCCCAGACUCCUACGGGAGGCAGCAGUGGGGAAUAUUGGACAAUGGGCGAAAGCCUGAUCCAGCAAUGCCGCGUGAGUGAGGAAGGCCUUAGGGUUGUAAAGCUCUUUUACCCGGGAUGAUAAUGACAGUACCGGGAGAAUAAGCUCCGGCUAACUCCGUG
rnacentral:rRNA from 1 species